rnacentral:rRNA from 1 species
AACGAACGCUGGCGGCAUGCCUAACACAUGCAAGUCGAACGAAGGCUUCGGCCUUAGUGGCGCACGGGUGCGUAACGCGUGGGGAUCUGCCCUUUGCUUCGGAAUAACAGUUAGAAAUGACUGCUAAUACCGGAUGAUGUCGUAAGACCAAAGAUUUAUCGGCAAAGGAUGAACCCGCGUAGGAUUAGCUAGUUGGUGGGGUAAAGGCCUACCAAGGCGACGAUCCUUAGCUGGUCUGAGAGGAUGAUCAGCCACACUGGGACUGAGACACGGCCCAGACUCCUACGGGGGGCAGCAGUGGGGAAUAUUGGACAAUGGGCGAAAGCCUGAUCCAGCAAUGCCGCGUGAGUGAUGAAGGCCUUAGGGUUGUAAAGCUCUUUUACCCGGGAUGAUAAUGACAGUACCGGGAGAAUAAGCUCCGGCUAACUCCGUGCCAGCCGCCGCCGUAACAC